CUACGGGUGGCUCCAGUGGGGAAUAUUGGACAAUGGGCGCAAGCCUGAUCCAGCAAUGCCGCGUGAGUGAAGACGGCCUUAGGGUUGUAAAACUCUUUCGCUAGGGAAGAUAAUGACUGUACCUAGUAAAGAAGUCCCGACUAACUCCGUGCCAGCAGCCGCGGUAAUACGGAGGGGACUAGCGUUGUUCGGAAUUACUGGGCGUAAAGAGUUCGUAGGCGGACUGACAAGUUAGAGGUGAAAUCCCAGGGCUCAACCCUGGAACUGCCUUUAAAACUGUCAGUCUAGAGACCGGAAGAGGUUAGGGGAAUACCUAGUGUAGAGGUGAAAUUCGUAGAUAUUAGGUGGAACACCAGUGGCGAAGGCGCCUAACUGGUCCGGUACUGACGCUGAGGAACGAAAGCGUGGGGAGCAAACAGGAUUAGAUACCCCCGUAGUC
rnacentral:rRNA from 1 species